AGAGAUCAUGGCUCAGAAUCAACGCUGGCGGCGUGCCUCAGACAUGCAAGUCGAACGAUUAAAGCUCCCUUCGGGGAGUGUAUAGAGUGGCGCACGGGUGAGUAACACGUAAGUAAUCUACCUUUGAGUGGGGAAUAACAUCGGGAAACCGAUGCUAAUACCGCAUAAUGCAGCGGCACCGCAAGGUGACAGUUGUUAAAGGAGCAAUUCGCUUGAAGAGGAGCUUGCGGCAGAUUAGCUAGUUGGUAAGGUAAUGGCUUACCAAGGCUACGAUCUGUAUCCGGUCUAAGAGGACGGUCGGACACACUGACACUGAAUAACGGGUCAGACUCCUACGGGAGGCAGCAGUCGGGAAUUUUGGGCAAUGGGCGAAAGCCUGACCCAGCAACGCCGCGUGAAGGAUGAAGUAUUUCGGUAUGUAAACUUCGAAAGAAUGGGAAGAAUAAAUGACGGUACCAUUUAUAAGGUCCGGCUAACUACGUGCCAGCAGCCGCGGUAAUACGUAGGGACCAAGCGUUGUUCGGAUUUACUGGGCGUAAAGGGCGCGUAGGCGGCGUGGUAAGUCACUUGUGAAAUCUCUGAGCUUAACUCAGAACGGUCAAGUGAUACUGCUGUGCUAGAGUGCAGAAGGGGCAAUCGGAAUUCUUGGUGUAGCGGUGAAAUGCGUAGAUAUCAAGAGGAACACCUGAGGUGAAGACGGGUUGCUGGGCUGACACUGACGCUGAGGCGCGAAAGCCAGGGGAGCAAACGGGAUUAGAUACCCCGGUAGUCCUGGCCCUAACGAUGAAUACUUGGUGUCUGGAGUUUUAAUGCUCCGGGUGCCGUCCCUAACGUUUUAAGUAUU
rnacentral:rRNA from 1 species